rnacentral:rRNA from 1 species
UUAACUGAAUCCAUAGGUUAAUGAGGCGAACCGGGGGAACUGAAACAUCUAAGUACCCCGAGGAAAAGAAAUCAACCGAGAUUCCCCCAGUAGCGGCGAGCGAACGGGGAGGAGCCCAGAGCCUGAAUCAGUGUGUGUGUUAGUGGAAGCGUCUGGAAAGGCGCGCGAUACAGGGUGACAGCCCCGUACACAAAAAUGCACAUAUUGUGAGCUCGAUGAGUAGGGCGGGACACGUGGUAUCCUGUCUGAAUAUGGGGGGACCAUCCUCCAAGGCUAAAUACUCCUGACUGACCGAUAGUGAACCAGUACCGUGAGGGAAAGGCGAAAAGAACCCCGGCGAGGGGAGUGAAAAAGAACCUGAAACCGUGUACGUACAAGCAGUGGGAGCCUCUUAAUGGGGUGACUGCGUACCUUUUGUAUAAUGGGUCAGCGACUUAUAUUCUGUAGCAAGGUUAACCGAAUAGGGGAGCCGAAGGGAAACCGAGUCUUAACUGGGCGUUAAGUUGCAGGGUAUAGACCCGAAACCCGGUGAUCUAGCCAUGGGCAGGUUGAAGGUUGGGUAACACUAACUGGAGGACCGAACCGACUAAUGUUGAAAAAUUAGCGGAUGACUUGUGGCUGGGGGUGAAAGGCCAAUCAAACCGGGAGAUAGCUGGUUCUCCCCGAAAGCUAUUUAGGUAGCGCCUCGUGAAUUCAUCUCCGGGGGUAGAGCACUGUUUCGGCAAGGGGGUCAUCCCGACUUACCAACCCGAUGCAAACUGCGAAUACCGGAGAAUGUUAUCACGGGAGACACACGGCGGGUGCUAACGUCCGUCGUGAAGAGGGAAACAACCCAGACCGCCAGCUAAGGUCCCAAAGUCAUGGUUAAGUGGGAAACGAUGUGGGAAGGCCCAGACAGCCAGGAUGUUGGCUUAGAAGCAGCCAUCAUUUAAAGAAAGCGUAAUAGCUCACUGGUCGAGUCGGCCUGCGCGGAAGAUGUAACGGGGCUAAACCAUGCACCGAAGCUGCGGCAGCGACACUAUGUGUUGUUGGGUAGGGGAGCGUUCUGUAAGCCUGUGAAGGUGGCCUGUGAGGGUUGCUGGAGGUAUCAGAAGUGCGAAUGCUGACAUAAGUAACGAUAAAGCGGGUGAAAAGCCCGCUCGCCGGAAGACCAAGGGUUCCUGUCCAACGUUAAUCGGGGCAGGGUGAGUCGACCCCUAAGGCGAGGCCGAAAGGCGUAGUCGAUGGGAAACAGGUUAAUAUUCCUGUACUUGGUGUUACUGCGAAGGGGGGACGGAGAAGGCUAUGUUGGCCGGGCGACGGUUGUCCCGGUUUAAGCGUGUAGGCUGGUUUUCCAGGCAAAUCCGGAAAAUCAAGGCUGAGGCGUGAUGACGAGGCACUACGGUGCUGAAGCGACAAAUGCCCUGCUUCCAGGAAAAGCCUCUAAGCAUCAGGUAACAUCAAAUCGUACCCCAAACCGACACAGGUGGUCAGGUAGAGAAUACCAAGGCGCUUGAGAGAACUCGGGUGAAGGAACUAGGCAAAAUGGUGCCGUAACUUCGGGAGAAGGCACGCUGAUAUGUAGGUGAAGCGACUUGCUCGUGGAGCUGAAAUCAGUCGAAGAUACCAGCUGGCUGCAACUGUUUAUUAAAAACACAGCACUGUGCAAACACGAAAGUGGACGUAUACGGUGUGACGCCUGCCCGGUGCCGGAAGGUUAAUUGAUGGGGUUAGCGGUAACGCGAAGCUCUUGAUCGAAGCCCCGGUAAACGGCGGCCGUAACUAUAACGGUCCUAAGGUAGCGAAAUUCCUUGUCGGGUAAGUUCCGACCUGCACGAAUGGCGUAAUGAUGGCCAGGCUGUCUCCACCCGAGACUCAGUGAAAUUGAACUCGCUGUGAAGAUGCAGUGUACCCGCGGCAAGACGGAAAGACCCCGUGAACCUUUACUAUAGCUUGACACUGAACAUUGAGCCUUGAUGUGUAGGAUAGGUGGGAGGCUUUGAAGUGUGGACGCCAGUCUGCAUGGAGCCGACCUUGAAAUACCACCCUUUAAUGUUUGAUGUUCUAACGUGGGCCCCUUACCGGGGUUGCGGACAGUGUCUGGUGGGUAGUUUGACUGGGGCGGUCUCCUCCUAAAGAGUAACGGAGGAGCACGAAGGUUGGCUAAUCCUGGUCGGACAUCAGGAGGUUAGUGCAAUGGCAUAAGCCAGCUUGACUGCGAGCGUGACGGCGCGAGCAGGUGCGAAAGCAGGUCAUAGUGAUCCGGUGGUUCUGAAUGGAAGGGCCAUCGCUCAACGGAUAAAAGGUACUCCGGGGAUAACAGGCUGAUACCGCCCAAGAGUUCAUAUCGACGGCGGUGUUUGGCACCUCGAUGUCGGCUCAUCACAUCCUGGGGCUGAAGUAGGUCCCAAGGGUAUGGCUGUUCGCCAUUUAAAGUGGUACGCGAGCUGGGUUUAGAACGUCGUGAGACAGUUCGGUCCCUAUCUGCCGUGGGCGCUGGAGAACUGAGGGGGGCUGCUCCUAGUACGAGAGGACCGGAGUGGACGCAUCACUGGUGUUCGGGUUGUCAUGCCAAUGGCACUGCCCGGUAGCUAAAUGCGGAAGAGAUAAGUGCUGAAAGCAUCUAAGCACGAAACUUGCCCCGAGAUGAGUUCUCCCUGACUCCUUGAGAGUCCUGAAGGAACGUUGAAGACGACGACGUUGAUAGGCCGGGUGUGUAAGCGCAGCGAUGCGUUGAGCUAACCGGUACUAAUGAACCGUGAGGCUUAACCUUACAACGCCGAAG